rnacentral:rRNA from 1 species
AACGAACGCUGGCGGCAUGCCUAACACAUGCAAGUCGAACGAGAUCUUCGGGUCUAGUGGCGCACGGGUGCGUAACGCGUGGGAAUCUGCCCUUUGGUUCGGAAUAACAGUUGGAAACGACUGCUAAUACCGGAUGAUGACGAAAGUCCAAAGAUUUAUCGCCAGAGGAUGAGCCCGCGUAGGAUUAGCUAGUUGGUGUGGUAAAGGCGCACCAAGGCGACGAUCCUUAGCUGGUCUGAGAGGAUGAUCAGCCACACUGGGACUGAGACACGGCCCAGACUCCUACGGGAGGCAGCAGUGGGGAAUAUUGGACAAUGGGCGAAAGCCUGAUCCAGCAAUGCCCCGUGAGUGAUGAAGGCCUUAGGGUUGUAAAGCUCUUUUACCCGGGAUGAUAAUGACAGUACCGGGAGGAUAAGCUCCGGCUAACUCCGUGCCAGUCGCCGCGGUAA